CACCCCUAUCUGCUCGAAUGCUUGAAUCUGAUCGUGAUCCUGAAGGUCCAUCUCAACCUGCUGCGAUGGAUGGGUGACCGGUAUGACCCAGCGAUUAAUUACCUGACCUCUAGGGCUGACAGGUGCCUACUGUCAUUCCUUGCCGACAGUCUCUACAGUGGAAGCUUUGGGCAGGACGAAGCAACAUGAUCCAAAUAUUGAGAUGCAGUGAUGAAGAUUUUCAAUUCCUUGUCAUUAGUUACCACUCAUAGAAGUCAGAGAUUGUUACUGAAACUCUGUAAAACCUACAUAGACAAAAAUUAUAUUUUGUUGUAAAUAAGUUUCUUUCUUUUUUUCCUCUUUUCAGUAAUGAGUUGAUAUUUGUUGUAUUUUACAUUGAAAUACAAGAAAUUAAUAUGUUUA